rnacentral:lncRNA from 1 species
GUCGGUAUGUUAAAAAUAUGCUAAUAUGAAAACUGUUGCUAUGGUCUUGGUAUUAAAUGAAAAGGCUUAGUUACAGAUCGUUACGACUCAAUAUUUCGAGUUAAAUCUUGCGGCAACUGUUUCUCAUGUAACACUGCAAACUAUAUUUAGCACUACUUUGAUCUGUCGUUAUUUAAUGACGCCAUUAUACAUGUGAUGUCACAAUGUUUCCGUUAAGACCUCUUGUGGAUUUCUCACUGAUAAAAGGUUUUCACUGAAAUACAUGUAAAAAACAUUUUUUUCUCAAAUAGAAUUAUGUGAAAGGACAAGUUUUGAAAAUUUGCACUAUAUUGUACUCUAAUUAUAUGAUAUGGAUGAUUUCCAAGUAGUUUAGAGUG